rnacentral:rRNA from 1 species
GAGUACACGUGGGAACGUGCCCUUUGGUUCGGAACAACCCAGGGAAACUUGGGCUAAUACCGGAUAAGCCCUUACGGGGAAAGAUUUAUCGCCGGAGGAUCGGCCCGCGUCUGAUUAGCUAGUUGGUGGGGUAAUGGCCCACCAAGGCGACGAUCAGUAGCUGGUCUGAGAGGAUGAUCAGCCUCACUGGGACUGAGACACGGGCCAGACUCCUACGGGAGGCAGCAGUGGGGAAUAUUGGACAAUGGGCGCAAGCCUGAUCCAGACAUGACGCGUGGGUGAUUGAAGGCCCUAGGGUCGCAAAGCCCUUUCGGCGGGGAAGAUAAUGACG